AUUGCUUCUCAGCUGUCAGAGCUAAGAUGAUCAUGUGAUAGUAUCUGUUCUUUGCAGUGUAAUUCCUGCAAUGAUCUCUAAACUGAAACCAAUGAAAUUACCGGUAUUUUUCCCUUACGAGGACAGGUGCUGUUAGCUUGCUCAAAUCCAUCCACGGGUCGGUCUCGUAUUGCACUACCUCGAGUAUUGGCCCAUUAAUU
rnacentral:snRNA from 1 species